rnacentral:rRNA from 1 species
UACGAAGGGUGCAAGCGUUACUCGGAAUUACUGGGCGUAAAGCGUGCGUAGGUGGUUUGUUAAGUCUGAUGUGAAAGCCCUGGGCUCAACCUGGGAAUUGCAUUGGAUACUGGCAGGCUAGAGUGCGGUAGAGGAUGGCGGAAUUCCCGGUGUAGCAGUGAAAAUGCGUAGAGAUCGGGAGGAACAUCUGUGGCGAAGGCGGCAUCCUGGACCGGCAUUGACGCUGAGGCGCGAAAGCUAAGGGGAGCAAACGGG